rnacentral:rRNA from 1 species
GACGAACGCUGGCGGCGUGCCUAAUACAUGCAAGUUGAGCGCUGAAGGUUGGUACUUGUACCGACUGGAUGAGCAGCGAACGGGUGAGUAACGCGUGGGGAAUCUGCCUUUGAGCGGGGGACAACAUUUGGAAACGAAUGCUAAUACCGCAUAAAAACUUUAAACACAAGUUUUAAGUUUGAAAGAUGCAAUUGCAUCACUCAAAGAUGAUCCCGCGUUGUAUUAGCUAGUUGGUGAGGUAAAGGCUCACCAAGGCGAUGAUACAUAGCCGACCUAAGAGGGUGAUCGGCCACAUUGGGACUGAGACACGGCCCAAACUCCUACGGGAGGCAGCAGUAGGGAAUCUUCGGCAAUGGACGAAAGUAUGACCGAGCAACGCCGCGUGAGUGAAGAAGGUUUUCGGAUCGUAAAACUCUGUUGGUAGAGAAGAACGUUGGUGAGAGUGGAAAGCUCAUCAAGUGACGGUAACUACCCAGAAAGGGACGGCUAACUACGUGCCAGCCGCCGCAGUAA